rnacentral:rRNA from 1 species
CCUACGGGAGGCAGCAGUGGGGGAUAUUGCACAAUGGGGGAAACCCUGAUGCAGCGACGCCGCGUGUGGGAAGACGGUCCUCUGGAUUGUAAACCACUGUCCCCAGGGACGAAGAUGACGGUACCUGGGGAGGAAGCUCCGGCUAACUACGUGCCAGCAACCGCGGUAAUACGUAGGGAGCAAGCGUUGUCCGGAAUUACUGGGUGUAAAGGGAGGGUAGGCGGGGAUGCAAGUUGGGUGUCAAAACUACCGGCUCAACUGGGAGUCGCACUGAAAACUGCAGCUCUUGAGUGAAGUAGAGGCAGGCGGAAAUCCUAGUGUAGCGGUGAAAUGCGUAGAUAUUAGGAGGAACACCAGUGGCGAAGGCGGCCUGCUGGGCUUUUACUGACGCUGAGGCUCGAAAGUGUGGGGAGCAAACAGGAUUAGAUACCCGGGUAGUC